AUUGAACGCUGGCGGCAGGCCUAACACAUGCAAGUCGAGCGAGCGGCGGACGGGUGAGUAAUGUCUGGGAAACUGCCUGAUGGAGAGGGAUAACUACUGGAAACGGUAGCUAAUACCGCAUACCAUCAGAUGUGCCCAGAUGGGCUUGGCUAGUAGGGGGGGGAACGGCUCACCUAGGCGACGAUCGCUAGCUGGUCGGAGAGGAUGACCAGCCACACUGGAACGUGUACACGGUCCAGACGCCUAGGGUGGCAAGCAGUGGGGAAUAUUGCACAAGGGGGGAAGGCCUGAUGCAGCCAGGCCGGGUGUGGGAAGAAGGCCUUGGGGUUGAAAAGCCCUUUCAGCGGGGAGGCGUUACCCGCAGAAGAAGCACCGGCUAACUCCGUGCCAGCAGCCGCGUAAUUC
rnacentral:rRNA from 1 species